rnacentral:rRNA from 1 species
CUUGACAUCCAGAGAAUUUAGCAGNGAUGCUUUAGUGCCUUCGGGAACUCUGAGACAGGUGCUGCAUGGCUGUCGUCAGCUCGUGUUGUGAAAUGUUGGGUUAAGUCCGCAACGAGCGCAACCCUUAUCCUUUGUUGCCAGCGCGUAAUGGCGGGAACUCAAAGGAGACUGCCGGUGAUAAACCGGAGGAAGGUGGGGAUGACGUCAAGUCAUCAUGGCCCUUACGAGUAGGGCUACACACGUGCUACAAUGGCGCAUACAAAGAGAAGCGACCUCGCGAGAGCAAGCGGACCUCAUAAAGUGCGUCGUAGUCCGGAUUGGAGUCUGCAACUCGACUCCAUGAAGUCGGAAUCGCUAGUAAUCGUAAAUCAGAAUGUUACGGUGAAUACGUUCCCGGGCCUUGUACACACCGCCCGUCACACCAUGGGAGUGGGUUGCAAAAGAAGUAGAUAGCUUAACCUUCGGGAGGGCGUUUACCACUUUGUGAUUCAUGACUGGGGUGAAGUCGUAACAAGGUAGGCGUAGACGU